rnacentral:tmRNA from 1 species
GGGGGCGUACUGGUUUCGACGGGGACGUAGAGGCCGGAAUAGCGGGCGGAUGCGCCUAACAUCCUUAAAAUGGGCAACUUAUAAAUUAAAGAACAACGAUAACGUCGUUCUCGCCGCUGCUUAAUUAGCGGCCGUCCCGCCCGGAAGGACCACGAGCCGGGAUGGGGCGUCGUUUAGUGGUGCCCGUGCGUGCGCAAAGCUUUGAGCGCACCAUGAAUCAUGAAGCUACCAAUCCCCUGAGUGUGACGGCUCACGCUGGGGUGCGGGAAUGCAAAUAACCGUCUGCGCCCGGAGAAGUUCUUGUUGAAGCGUUUUCGGACGGGGGUUCGACUCCCCCCGCCUCCACCA